rnacentral:rRNA from 1 species
GAUGAACGCUGGCGGCGUGCCUAAUACAUGCAAGUCGAGCGAACGGACGAGAAGCUUGCUUCUCUAAUGUUAGCGGCGGACGGGUGAGUAACACGUGGAUAACCUACCUAUAAGACUGGGAUAACUUCGGGAAACCGUAGCUAAUACCGGAUAAUAUUUUGAACCGCAUGGUUCAAAAGUGAAAGACGGUCUUGCUGUCACUUAUAGAUGGAUCCGCGCUGCAUUAGCUAGUUGGUAAGGUAACGGCUUACCAAGGCAACGAUGCAUAGCCGACCUGAGAGGGUGAUCGGCCACACUGGAACUGAGACACGGUCCAGACUCCUACGGGAGGCAGCAGUAGGGAAUCUUCCGCAAUGGGCGAAAGCCUGACGGAGCAACGCCGCGUGAGUGAUGAAGGUCUUCGGAUCGUAAAACUCUGUUAUUAGGGAAGAACAUAUGUGUAGGUAACUGUGCACAUCUUGACGGUACCUAAUCAGAAAGCCACGGCUAACUACGUG